UACGGGGGGGGCAAGCGUUGUUCGGAAUUACUGGGCGUAAAGGGUUCGUAGGUGGCCAACUAAGUCAGACGUGAAAUCCCUCGGCUCAACCGGGGAACUGCGUCUGAUACUGGUUGGCUUGAGUGCAGGAGAGGAACGCGGAAUUCCUGGUGUAGCGGUGAAAUGCGCAGAUAUCAGGAGGAACACCAAUUGCGAAGGCAGCUCGCUGGGACGUCACUGACGCUGAGACGCGAAAGCGUGGGGAGCAAACAGG
rnacentral:rRNA from 1 species